rnacentral:rRNA from 1 species
UACGGAGGGGGCAAGCGUUAUUCGGAAUUAUUGGGCGUAAAGGGCGCGUAGGCGGCUAGAUGUGUCAAAGGUGAAAUCCCUCGGCUCAACUGAGGAACUGCCUUUGAAACUGUCUGGCUUGAGGCCGGGAGAGGGUAGCGGAAUUCCCAGUGUAGCGGUGAAAUGCGUAGAUAUGCGGAGGAACACCGAUGGCGAAGGCGGGUCUCUGGGCCGAUACUGACGCUGAGGAGCGAAAGCGUGGGGAGCGAACAGG